rnacentral:lncRNA from 1 species
AGUGGGAGUGAGUAGUUGAGCACGAAAUCAGAUGGGAAAGCUUGAAAGCACUUGAUUUCUUCUCUUGAAAGCACUAACUCCCUUGAACCUCUUUCUCUUUCUUCUCUCUUGAAUGAUCUUGUGUUUUGGUUGGUGAGAAAUUGUUGGAAGGCACUUAAAAGCUCCCUUUUAUAGCCCAAAAAGCAAUAGAUCCGUUAGACACAAAAAUAUGACCGUUUGAAAUUCAAAUUUACCUGUAAAAGUGUGUCAGUCGCGUCCCAGGCGCUCCGGAGACGUCUCCGCUUGAACGCGAGACGUCUCGGCUGUAUAAAAUUUCUUUUGACGUUGUUUGGAGUCAACUCGGCGCUUUACGGGGACGACUCCGAAGAAGAACUCCUUGACUUCUUGUUUUUCUGUUUUUCUGAGAGAGUCGGCUCGGCACUUUACGGGGACAUCUCGGGAUGUUUGUGCUUUAUGCAUGGGGACGACUCCGCGACGUCGGGGACGACUCCGCCGUUUUAUCAAUGAAAAACACGUCCUCUGGAAUCCCCUAAGAGAGUUGACUCCCGCGCUCUCUGGGGACGACUCGAGAAGUUUGCUUUUUUACUCGUGGGGACGACUCCGCGUCCUUCGGAGACGACUCGCGCGCAUCCCUUGAAAUCGGCCUUUCUGCCGUCUCUGAGAGAGUCGACUCCGCA